AGGGUAGAUAUGAUCAAAAAUCAGGCCUGCCCACUGAAAAUUUGAAGGGCUGCAGUAUUUUGACUGUACAAAGGUAGCAUAAUCAUUAGUCUUUUAAUUGGAGACUGGUAUGAAAGGUUAGACGGAAAUAGUCUGUCUUAAAUAUAAUUAAUGAAUUUUAUUUUUAAGGAAAAGGGCUUAAAUAUGACAAAGGGACGAGAAGACCCUAUUAAAUUUGAGUAAUAAUUAUUUAUGAUUUUGAUUAGAUAAAAAUGGUGGGUAGUUAUUAAUUUUGCUGGGGCGGCAAAUAAUGAACAUUAUUUAUAUUUAAUGUAGUGAAUAACGAUUAGUUUGAUCCAAGUGGAUUGAUAAUAAGAUAUAGUUACUGUAGGGAUAACAGCGUAAUAUUUUUUGAGAGUUCUUAUUGACAAAAAUGUUUGCGACCUCGAUGUUGGAUUGAGAAGUCUUAUUGGUGCAGUAGUUUUUAAAGAGGGUCUGUUCGACCCUUAAAUUCUUACAUGAUCUGAGUCAAAAACCGGAGAACCC
rnacentral:rRNA from 1 species